UUUGGUGUAUAUGAAUGUCCU
rnacentral:miRNA from 1 species